rnacentral:tRNA from 1 species
GUUGUAGUAGUAUAGUGGUGAGUAUACCUGUCUGUCACAUGAGUGACCCGGGUUCGAUCCCCGGCAACAGCG